CAAAAUCAUCUCAAUUUCUGUAAUAUGUUUUCCAUUCUAUAAAAUGAGACCAAGAAAACUAGAAUACAACCAUAAAUGCCAUAUGAAAAUACAAUGCAAAGUCGCUGUUUUAAUCCAAAAACACAAAGUUUUUUUUUUCUCUCAUUACACACUGUGUGCUGCAGGAUUUUUUUUAUACUGAGCACACUGACCACAUAGACCCAUUCUUUCAUAUGUAGGCCUACCAGCUUUCUCUUGCUAGAUUUGAAGGCGCUAGAAUUUAGGCAUUCUAGUAUGUGAAUUACCCUGUGCGUAAGCCGUACUAGUAUGUCGGAAACCCUGAAAGCGUUAAGGUUGCUGCUUGCCAUAACCCCCAAAUCCUUUUCGCAUUCUGUAUGGCUAAGUUCAACAUUAUUAAGCUGGUAGGUGCUAGGGCUAUGAACAUUUCCGAGCUUAAGAACUUUACAUUUAAGUACAUUGAACUGCAUCUGCCACUUUUCUGACCUCGAAUUGAGUUUGUCUGAAGUUCCAAGACAUCAACGUCUGAAUCGAUUAUCCUACCUAUCUUCGUGUCAUUGUCAAAUUUGCUUAUGUCACUAGUAAUUCCCUCGUCAAGGUCAUUUAUAUAUAUUAUAAACAACAUGGGGCCUGAAACUGAUCCCUGUGGAAUGCCACUUGUUACAGAUCCCCACUCAGAUUUACCCCCAUUUAUGCACACACUAUGCUUCCUAUUAGUGAGCCGUGACUUGAUCUAUGACAGCACUUUUUCCCCAAUGCCAUGAGCUUCUACUUUCUUCAACAGUCUCUGAUGUGGUACUCUAUCGAAUGCCUUACUAAAAUCUAAAUAAACAACAUCGAAUUCUUUAUCCUGAUCAACAGCCUCAAAAGCUUUGCUGAAGAAGGUUAAUAAAUUAGUUUGGCAGGAAUGGCCCCUGGUGAAUCCAUGUUUAGUAUCAUUAAUCAAAUUAAGCCUAUUGAGAUGGCUUCUUAUAUUAUCAGCUAUAAUUGACUCUAGUAAUUUGCCUACAAUUGAGGUUAGACUUAUUGGGCGGUAAUUUGAUGGUAACGACUUGUCUCCUGCUUUAAAAAUAGGAAUUACAUUAGCCAUCUUCCACAUAUCAGGCACAAUACCUGUUUGAAGAGAAAUAUUAAAAAUAUUAGUUAAAGGUUCACAGAGUUCCAUUUUGCAUUCCUUAAGAGCCCUUGUAAAGAGCUCAUCAGGACCAGGUGAUUUAUUUGGCUGCAAACGGUCUAUCUGUUUGAUAACCAUUUCGCUAGUGACUGUGAUAUUACAUAAUUUAAAUUCUUCAGGCCCACUAAAAACCUAGAGAAAAUAAUUAUUAAAAAUAGAGCACAUUUCAUUCUCUUUGUCAGUUAGAACUCCACAGUUAUUUUUAACCAGUAAACGGUCCAAACGUAUAUAUAUGUUUUUACCGCUAGUGCCCCAAAUGUAUAUAUACGUUUUAUUUUUCCUGCCUUCAAAUAUGGCACAAUUAGCCUGAGAUGCCUUGUCAGCAUGGAAUGGGUCCUAACACUCAGUGUGCACAGCAUUAAAAAAAUCUGGAACCACUUAGUACCUAGUGGGAGCACCAGUUCAAAUGAGUGCCAGCUAGAGCAAACAGCACAGCAAACACCUGGGACUCACUGAUGUCAUGUAGUAUUAACACUCCCAUUUUAAGAGGAAAGUGGUUUUGACCCUGAGUUUAGUGGCUCUGAGGUGGAUGUGGCCACAAGUGAUCAAGGAAAUAUAAAAAAAAACUCGAUAAUAACCCAUGUGCAAUAUUUGUGCAACACCCUUUCAGAAUGUCUUAUAACCUAUGCCCUAAGUAAAGAGAAACAAUUCUGGCUGGCUGGCAGGCUGGCUGGCUGACUGACUGGCUGAUUGGCUGACUGACUGGCUGAUUGGCUGGCUAGCUGGCUGGCCGGCUGGCUGGCCAGCUGCGUAGCUGGCCAACUGCUGGCGGCCUGGCUCGAUCUCCGUUUAUCUGUCUGUAUCUAUGUCUAUCUCUGUCUGUCUCUGUCUUUGUCUCUGUGUAUCUGUCUCUGUCUAUCUCUUUCUAUCUGUCUGUCUAUCUCUGUCUCACAGGUGCACAUAAAUACAAGUAUACAUAGUGUAAAUUACCUAGGAUAACCCAAAAAAUCCAGACAAAGUGCUAUACUCUGCUUGAAGAUAUGAGUAAAAGUGAUGACACAGUCUUGUGGCUCUCUCUGAGACAGAGAGCUAGAUGGAUAGACAGGGAGCUUGACAGACAGACAAAUAGACAGACAUGUUUGUGUACCAGCGAAAACUAAGGGAGGCCCUAAUCUUUUCUUAUCAACUCUUAUCACUGCACCCUUGCGAAUGCUCAUCAAAUGUCAGCUCUUAUCAAAUGUUAUCUCAUCUUUUCACGUCACUGUCAGGGGUGGACUUUGUUUUUCAUGCUUCAAGGGAACAUUAUUUAUCCUCCUCAUCCUCCUCAUCCUCCUCAUCCUCCUCAUCCUCCCUCCCUCCCUCCCUCUUCUAUACUUCCACAUAUCCAAAACAUUGCUGGGACCUAUAAAUACUUUGUAUAUAUUCCAAGACAAUAGUAAAUGACCAAGGCAGGUGUAAAUGUCCACCUGUCAAUGUGUUUGUGACAAUGCGAGUACGAUUUCAGUACCUAAUACAGUGGACCCCCGGUUAACGAACUUUUGUCAUUCCAGUAGUAUGUUCAGGUGCCAGUACUGACCGAAUUUUUUCCCAUAAGGAAUAUUGUGAAGUAGAUUAGUCCAUUUCAGACCCCCAAACAUACACGUACAAACGCACUUACAUAAAUACACUUACAUAAUUGGUCGCAUUUGGAGGUGAUCGUUAAGCGGGGGUCCACUGUACUAGUGUCAGAACAAAGAUUGGUUAUGAAAUGACAAGAGCUACUCUAAAAUGUAAUUAUCAGAACAUGAAAGUUAUAUAAAAUAACAUGAAAAAUAGAAAAAAAGGUAUAUCGGCAACACUUCUGCAAGCAGCAGGACUCGAUGUUACUGUCACGUGAGCAUCCAUUGCCAACUUCUGGGCCUCAUAUCUGGGUAAAUACUGACCCUAAAUUUUUUGUUUCAUCCUAUAACACUUGGAUAAAUGUGUUCUUUUUUUCAUUAAAAAAAAAUGAUUUUUUUUAUUUUUCAAAAUAUUUGGGGCCCUGGAGUAGUGAAUGUAUAUAUACGUUUGGACCGUUUACGGGUUAAGGGGCCUAUCUUAUCUCAAACUUUUGUUCUAUACACCUGGAAAAUACUUUUAGGGUUAGAUUUCGAAUCCCUAGCAACUUAAAUUUCGUAGUCCCAUUUAGCUUUUCUUAUUCCCUUUUUAACAUCCCUCUUAAUGUCAAUGUACUGAUUCAUAAGAAGACCCUUGCCUCUUUUGAUAUGCCUAUAAAUGCCUUUCUUCUGCCCUAAAAGAUAUUUGAGCCUAUUAUUCAUCCAUUUAGGGUCAUAUCUAUUCGAUCUAAUUUCUUUAUGCGGGAUAAAUGUUGUAAUAAAGUUGGUAGAAUUACCGACAAUAUGUAAAGUAAAAGGACACAAGUGCAACAAAUGUGACAUUUUACUGUGGCAACGUUUCGCUCUCCAGGAGCUUUAUCAAGCCAUUACAAACAAACUAAGCAGUUGGACGUGACUUCCCUCUUCACAAAAGUACCUACCACAAAAGCCAUCGAGGUUCUACGACGUAAAGUCAAUCAGGACCUUAAUCUUCCUCUACCUCCCGGAGAGUUUGUUGACUUGAUUGAACUCUGUAUUAAUUUCAACUGUUUUUCUUUCAAUAACAAGCUCUACAAACAAACCUACGGCAUGGGAAUGGGGUCCCCCAUCAGUGCCGUCCUAGCCAACUUAUACAUGGAACACCUAGAGACCGAACACUUCGCCAACAUCAUCCCUUCAAGCGUCAUUUGGUCACGUUACGUGGACAACGUCCUCAUAAUAACUCCCAAACGUUUUGUUGUACGGAAUCUUCAGGCAAGGCUCAACGCAGUUGAACUGGCGAUCCAGUUUACAUUAGAAGAAGAGUCCAAUGACAAGCUACCUUUCCUCGACGUCCUCAUUCACAAAGUAGACAACAACCUAAGAUUUCAAGUUUAUCGGAAACCUACCAGUAAAAAUGAUCUCACACUUCUAUUUCAGUCAAGAUACCAAGACCAAAAGAGGCAUCAUCAUCGGGUUUUUCCUAAGAGCAUACCGAAUUUGUAGUCCUGAGUUUCUUGACGAGGAAUGUACAUACAUUCACCAAACAUUCACUGAGUUACAUUUUCCUUCCUUUUUCAUCAAAGACUGCAAGAAAAGAGCCCUUCAGAUCAUUAAUUCUCCACGCACCAACAGCACUCCCAACAAAGUUAUAAUUCUUCCCAACAGCCAGGUUGCACUGAACGUUUCUAAAGUACUUUCACAAGCUAACACCAGAGUCGCCAUCGCUUCUAGCACUUCAAUAAAGGAUCUAACCAGGACUAAACCAAAGCACCAUGAACCAGUCAACGCAGGAGUUUACACUAUACCCUGUGGAGGCUGUGACAAGAUUUACAUAGGUGAAACAGCAAGAAACCUCGACACCCGCCUCAAUGAACACAUUUACGCAUGUAGGAACGAUAACUUGAACAACGCCUGUGUACAACACCGAAAUUCCACCAAUCAUCUCAUGAAAUUCAGAGACGCCCAAUUAGUGAUCAAAGAAACUAAUUUCCGCAGACGCAAGUGCCUCGAAUCAGCACUGAUUGCUGUUUCGAAUACAAUUAAACAAAACAACGGCAGCUUCACCAUCUCUGAAGUCUUAGCAAGAAUCCUCCUGAAAACAGUAAACCCUGCCAUCACAUAGUCUCUCCUGUUUUACUACAAGCAUGUUACAGAGAGUGAACACUGAAACAGGCUGCCUCUAUCCAGUCUAUAUUUGUCCAACCUAUUUUUAUGUUACCCAAGUAAUAGCUUUUGUAUCCUUUUACUCAUGUACGAAUUAAUUGCUCUACCAUAUUGUAUUACUACUACUACUACAACUUUUGUCACUACUACUACUACCACUAGAAUUGCAUCUCACUCUGAGCCUAUAUACCCUCUGUGUCCAUGUAUUGUUUGUAAUGGCUUGAUAAAGCUCCUGGAGAGUGAAACGUUGCCGCAAUAAAAUGUCACAUUUGUUGCACUUGGGAUAAAUGUUCUUUGGGCAGCAUGUAUAGUGUUCAGAAAACUCAUAUUGAUAGCUCUCUUCAUUACCCCAGUUCACAGAUGACAAGUGAUCUCUAAGCCCAUUGUAAUCUGCUAAGCGAAACUCUGGGACCGUUACUGAGUUAUUCCUGCUAUCAUACUUCCAUUCAGUGCUAAAGUCAACGUGUGGAGCUAUUCGACGAGAGAAAGAACUUGAGCUGGAGGUUGUGACGGGUCGUGUGCAUGGCUGGGAUGGCGGAGACACCCUGGCCACCCUCGGGGAGGUGAUACGGAUGGGAUCGGUAGCGUUCCUGCCAGAUCAUCGGGAUCGAUAUUUGAUCCUUUUUCCCACUGUGUUGGUCAUGUUGUCUGUCUCUCCUAGAAUGAGUGCCUUUAUCUUUGAGGGAAGUUACCCAUUAAGCAGUAUACAUGUAAGCAAGCUGGAGGACAAUGAUCAACACAAAAAUGCCUUUGAAAUUUCAGGUGUGUAAAUUAUAUUGUUUGUGC